rnacentral:lncRNA from 1 species
UGGAGCAGUUCUUCUCACAGAGAGGCAGAAGCUGUGGAGGGACAUGAACCGUAUCAUCCAGAAAACUUAUGCUAUUCCGCUGGCUCGACGACCAAGCAAUCCCAUCCGGGGGAUGUGCUUCUACUUGAUUCGCAAUCUGACAUAUCAAAAGUGCAUGAUCCUCGCACUCCUUGGCUACUCUGGGCUACUUGCGACUAACUAUGCUGGGCAGUCGGCAGUUGUUUCGGACCGGCGUCAGAUGGCUCACUGUGCGAUUACAACAUAUUUCCUGCUCGAAUCCGUGAUGGAGUUCCUUGGCGACGAGGUACCUCAUUCAUCUUUUUCUCGAUUGUUUUUUGUUUGACCACCUGGUUUUUCCUUUCUCCAGUGGAAGGUCUAUAAGAACGAGGUUGCACGGCAGAUGACGUUUGGACUCUCCAUAAUGGCCGCCAUUGGUCUCUUGGGAAAGAAGGGAACGGUGAGGGGCUAUGUCGGCCGCACUGCCUACAUUGCUCAAGUUUUUUGCAUCAUUCCUCACGUAGUGAGAGUGCGGGUUAUUAUGCGAACAAUGUUCAUCUGUUUGCCAACUGUAGCUGAGAUACUCGUUCUUCUCGCAAUUUUCAUGUAUAUGUUUGCGGGGAUGGCUUUCCAACUCUUCAGUGCAAUGAAGGAAGGGACCUGCAUUGGCCCGUCUGUCAACUUUCACACUUUCGUCAACGCUUUCAUUAACUGGUCUUGCGUUAUGAUGGAUACCACAAUUGAUGCACCCGCCUGCACCAACGGUAAAACACUACUCGGUGAUGAUUGUGGCUAUCCAGAGGGCGGGACUAUCUUCUUCACCUUCUUGGUCUUGGUCGGGAGUCACAUAUUCAUGAACUUGUUCGUGGCUGUCAUACUGGAUGCUGUAACCUUCAGCCUUUUGAACGAGAACUCUAUGGUUAUGCCGGAGCACCUGUUAGCGUAUCGAAACUUGUGGAGCCAAGAACCAUUCGAUCCCAAGUAAGCCACUUACUUACGUUCAAGUCCUUGUGGAACUAACUUUACAAUCGUCCAGUGCUAUGGGAUACAUUGGCAUGCACAAGCUGCGACGAUUUGUAAACGCCCUCGGUGACCCGCUGAGCCGGCGCUACAAGUCCGCAACCCAAUGGUUUGGCGUGUGUUUGUGGAGUCCUCCCAAUCUCGUUUUCUUCUUUGUUCUGCUCAGGUACGUGAGAAUAGAGUACGAGGUGAUGAGUUUUCGAGUUCCAAACAAAGGAAUCCCUUUCAAGGAGCUGCUGGAACGCUGACGCUGUAUAAGAUGGGACCAACUGUAAGUAGCUGUUAUUCCAACCUUUUGAUACUGACGCUUGGUUCCCGUGUUUAACGGGAGGCUAAUCCGAGCCAAGCGUAAGUAUCAAAAGGUUGGAAUAGCAGCUACUUACAGUUGCCUCCCGUUAAACACCAUCCUGAUUCAUUCUCUCUCCGCUUACCUGGCGAUGAUGUGGACAAUGAUUGGAGGGUGCGGCAGCAUUUCCAUGACAACAUUGUGUGGAUCACUGUGAAGAAAGAUGCUUCGGAGGACGAUCUCAAGGAGCUCCUCAACGCUCUUGAAUGGGGUGAAAUGAAAGAGAGGAUUUUAUAGCAGGGCCAUCCUCUGGCCAGAUCCUGGUGACAACCAGAAAGGAAGGCAUUUUGCAUCCGGAUGCAAAGGCAUUUGCUGUGCAUGAGCUAUCAAUGGACGAAAGCAAAAAGAUGUUUUGGAAGUUUGCCUUCAGUGUGCAUGAUCCACAACCCAGUGACCCUGAUGUUGUGGGAUUUGCCAAGAAAAUAGCUCGAAAAUGUGAGGGACUUCCUCUCGCUCUGGAAGUGAUUGGCAGUGCCAUGGCUGUCCACAGAAGAGAAGGGCCACAUGUGUGGGAAGAACGAUAUAAGAGGUUGCACUUGUCCAAUGACCCAGAUGUUGAGAAGCAGAUGUUCAAACGCUUGAAGUUCAGCUAUGACGAGCUGGGAAACUAUGAGGGUGAAAAGCUGCAAGAGAGCUUUCUCUAUGUGGCUGCAUUCCCACACAAAUUAAUUGAAUUUAGUUCCUUGAGCAAAUGUUGGAUGGAGGUUGGGUCAGAACUCUCACCCACAGCGAUUGUCAAUGAACUGGAACGGAGAUGCCUGGUCAAGAUAGAUAAGUCUUGGGGGUAUGAAGAAGCUCCUGGUUAUAUAAUCGUACACGAUAUGCUACCAUCUGACUCACUUUUGUUCCUCGAAUGUCAAGCACUUGAAGGUUUUUCAGCUUGGAAAUGCUCUCUGGAAUAAAAUGGAUCCUAGAGCAUCGCCACAAGCUCAAUACCUUGACACCUUGUAUGUGAUUGAUAAGACUGUCAUCCACAUUAGAAAGUCCUAUACAUUCAUCCAUAAGUAUAGCGCUUUUCAGCCUGACAUCACUGAAAUAUCUAAAAUCUACUUAGUGGACGCCCAUAAAGUGUAACAUUGCAUUACUGCCCCAGCUCUCCAACUUGGAAGAGCUGGAGCUGAGCCUUGAUUCAAAAGAGGAGUCAUCAGUUGUGGAUUUGACUGGAAUUUCACGUAAACUAAGACUUCUAGAUCUAAGAAUGACACAUGGUACAAUGAAGGUGCCAGAAAGCAUGGGGACAUUGGAGCACAUUGAAACAUUGGUUUUACAUGCAAACAACAUUGACUUUGCCAGUUUCGUUGGGUUAUGGCAACUUGUCAACCUAACAAAAUGUCUAAUUCGUGUGAGAACCGUCAGCAGAGCUACUUGGAAACAAAUGUUUAUGAAAUCAAUCAAGCUUCAACAUUUUUCCAUCGUUGGGGUAGAAGACAGUGAAAGUAGUGAUGACAGCUUCGAAUGGUUGCAACUACAAUAUUUAGACAUCCGUGAUAUCAUAAACCUAUCUUGGUUGCCCCAUAGAAACAUUUUUUUAUUAAAUGCAAUCGUAUCCACUUCUUCAACCUGGAUGGAUCAUUCCCAAGUCUUGAAAGGCUGUGGCUUACUAAUCUACGCAUUGCACAGUCAAAAUUCAAGGAUGAUUUGGCUGCCAGUCUUCCAAAUCUGAAAGAGUUGCACUUUUGGCUAGCUCCUGAUAUUGAAUGGGAGCAAUUGCCUCUCUUCACGAGAGCCUGCAUUUUCGUCGCAGCGCCCUGGAUGUACACGGCCUGGAUCCGCUUCUCACGCUCGAUGCGCAGAGUGAGAGGCAACCCCUGCGUUAAUCCGAGGCACGCUCCCAUUCGCCUCCCAACAGUCCAACCCAUUUGCUACGGGCUUCAGGAUCCAAGAGGGCAUUCACCACCUCAUCCAGCAGUUGCUCAUGGCCCCCAAACAUGGGAUCAGGAAAAACACGCCGUACAUAUUUUUUUGCAGGGCCUCUGUCUUGCGGGGAACUCCGUACGGCGAAGCUAGUGCUCGGCUGUAUCACUCUCAACUCUUCUCGCUCGUACCUUUCAAUUUUCGGAAGGAGAUCGUCCUCGUAGCUGUGUAUCAGCUCCGAGAUCUUGUCACAACGCUUCUCCCUGUGAAACAUCCAUAGAUCAUUUAGCUGUACUGUUAAAGCUCUCAAGUGUAUAUGCUUACUGUGAUCCCAGCAGUGCUUGCGCCUUGUCGUUCCAUUUUGUGACAAGAUCAAGACACUCCUCGGCUCCAUCAGAGUAGCGGAACUCUGGAUUCCGGUGCUUGUGAGUAUUAAACUUGUUAAGCAUGGCCUGAAUGCUGGUCGCCCCCUUGUCCAGCUUCGCAAUGUCCACAUUCAGCUCGUGCCCGUGACUUUCGAUCUGCGACAGGAGAUCGUGGUAGGAGCUUAUGCACUCCAUAAUAGGAAUGGAGUCCUUUUAAAACCGUUGUUUCGGCUCUCUGGUACAUAGCAUGUCAAGCUUGCGAGCCUUUGAAUCAUUUGAGAGCAUAGCCUGCGUGGAACUUGUCUGCGUCAAUUCUCGACAGCAGAAGCUGCGAGAAGAAUUUAAAGUUCCAAGUGUAAGCAAACCAAGACUUGUAUGUACCUUGAAUGAAACUUAACACGAAACAAUUAGUUCGAUGCUUUACACCAAUCAAAGCUUUGAACAAAUAGCACACGCUCCUACGCUUUCCCAAUACACAAAACACGGAGCACUGGAGAAAGGAUACUGAUAGCAAAGAAACAAACUCUACUUACAGUAUAAACCCCGCUUAUCGUCCUAAUUUUCAAAACCGCUCUGGCCACCACAGGCAAAACAUCACGCAAGGGUCCAUUCUAACAAAAACCUGACCUUCAUGCUGCAACAGGAGAAUCCGGAGCUGAUCCAAUUGAAGAAGCUUCGGGAUCCUUAGGCAAGGCAACGUAAUUCAUCAUCGGAGAGUAGCGUUUCACCCGGCUACCCUUUUGAGGACCCUGAUUGCUAGCCUUAGGUGCGGGUAAGGGCUCAGGGACUAUCGAAAGUCGUCGGUUUGCAUUGUUUCCACUCACGCGAAGUCCCACCUGUCCCUUUUUGGACGGCUUUGUGCCGUAGAGCAGCUCCUGCUCAGUUUGCAGUUGUUCCUGCAUUCUCUUCUCCUCCUGCAUUUAGCCAGUUAACGUCUUAACAGGCACUAAACUGCAGAGUUACCCUCAGUCGGCGCUUUUCUUCUUCUUUCUCUCGUCGUAGCAAGCUAUAUUCUUCUAGAAUUGCCAGUAGAGAAAUCUGCAAAGCACUUUCAGAAGCGUCUACGAAAAUCACUUACGUACCCCGUUAUAUAAGAAGGGCCUGCCUCUUUCGUCCUCCCAAGACCGCGUUUUGGACUUCAAUGAUUCAAGAAGAUCUGCAAACGGGUUGUGAAAACUGAGAAAAGGAAAUAGCAAACGAAGAAUUCAAACGCACUGGGGAGUUUGGCCACGAUGACACGAGCUCUUUCUGCACGUUUUAGAUUCAAAUGUGCUCCUCUGGUUGCAUUGAAGCGGCUUUCAUCCUACAAUCGAAAAUGAAUAAGUGAAAUAGCGUAACGCUCAUACCUUAUUGUAUUCUUCAAGCUUGCUUUCUUCUUCACACGCACUAAUCCACCGUUCCAUUCAUUCCAUUAUAUCUUGUCUGCCGAGUGAUUCUUCCUUCUCCUCGGCGAUACUACUUUCGAUUGUAGCAAGUAGUUCUGACAAGUCCACUAUCCCUGUGCACACGAAACAUCAGCCAGGAAAUGCACACAGAAUAAAUUUUUACCUGACUCCCGAUCGUCUUGGCUAAGUUCUCUAGCGUCUCAUCGCUAAUACUUCUGCUCUGGCCUGGAUCACAAAGGCUCGGAUGCACUUCCUUGACAGCCUCGGUGUAGUCUGCCCCCAACAGGACGCAAUAUCCCUGCAGAACCUCGAGAAGCUCUGAGAAUUUGUGGAGCCGGCUACUCUGGAAAUGUCACUUGUAAGAAAAAAGAAUGCCAACCGUGCCAAUACAAACCAACCUUUACAUCCUGAAGCUCUUGAACCUGGCAAUGGUACUCAUACAGCUUUCUCAGCAACAAACCUUUCCAAGAAAAAGCUCCAUUCUCGGCCUCUUGCAAUGCCCCUGGCGAUAUCUCCUGAGAGAGCCUUUGUGUCUGGCAUUGCACGUCCUCAAAUUGCUUCCGCCGCUCCUCUUUCCUCAGACGCAAGCAUUCUAACUGAGGUGAGACGGACAAGAGCUGCUCUCGCAGAGUAGUGCCCGACCUCUUCUCUAACUGAAAGGAAGAACAACGGGCAUUAGAAAAGCACUGUGAGAUGGAUCAAACAACGCGUACCAUGCAAGGGCGAUCACCCAGGAGCGACAGGAGCGACGCGAGCUCCGACUCGGAAUCCGCCAGCAGCUGGUGCAGCCGAGCCCUCGCGCAAUUCGCUUGAUCCACCUUUCGCCGGUACACAUCCAGGCAUUCUUGCUCCAGCUGGAGCAGCAUUCUGUCCCUCUCCUCGUCGCUCUCCCCCAUCUCCUCCGCGCGGGCGAUCCACCGCGAUCGUGAGAAACUCCAGAGGUAAUAUUUCGCGAGGUUACCUGGAGCUCCCGCAGCAGCGAUCGGCAAGUCGUGUCCUCGCCUUCCAUGGCCUCCAGAAUCAAAAUGCGAGUCCCCAGAUCACUCAAAACAAUCAAGAAUCCUCCGCGAGAACGCCGCCGCCCUCGCCAUCGCCCCCUGCUCCAACCUAAACCUUUUACGCCUGCCACGUGUUACAGAGCCUAAACCAGCGACAAAUAUUCUCAGCGUUUAAAUUGAUGCUUCUUGCAGUAUGAGUGACCUCGAUCCUGGUGGUGGUGAUGGUCGUGACUAUGGUUGUGACCAUGGUCGUGGCUGGGAUGGCGAUGGUGCUGGUGCUUCUCAGCGCCAUGCUCGUGAUCAGAGCACUGUGUUCUUCUGGCGUGAUCGUCGUCCUUGGAGCACUGCUUACCACCGUCGUGAUCGUGGUCGUGAUCCUUGCAAUUCUUUCCCUGGUGAUGGUGGUGGCCUGAUGAUCUCUUCUUCCCUGUCCCUCGGAGUAAAAGCGUACUGUUUGAGAUCACCAGCAAGCACGCCCCGACGUCGACCAGGACCGCCAUCCACAGGUAGCCAUAGCCAGCGAACGAGAAUGCCAGUAUCGCCACUUUGAGGCCCACCGAGAUGACAACGUUCUGUAUAACUUUGGUGCGGACUCUCCUUCCCAGACUCACCACCAUGCUCAGCUUCCGGAGAUCGUCAGUCACGAGGAAAACGUCCGAUGUCUCCACAGCCACUGCUGAUCCGGCUAGACCCAUGGCAAAUCCUACGUCCGCCGCUGCUAAAGCCAGGGCGUCGUUUAUCCCGUCGCCUAUCAUUCCCGCCACACCGUGGUUUUCUUUCAGCUCUUGGAUGAUUUUGACUUGGGAGAAGACCGGAGUGUACAGUAACUCCUCCCAACUGUAAUGGAGAUUAUUCAGUGACACCUCGAAGAUGGAAAUAGAAGCUUACAUUGCUCUGGACGCUCUGGGCCGUCUCAUGGUUAUCCCCAGAUAGCAUAUGGAUAUGGAGCUUCAUACGCUGCCAUACACAAAAGAAAGCUUGUAAGGAAACAAGGGGCAAUAUUUCGAGCAUCGAUCUGCAAGUCGUGUCCUCGCCUUCACUUUAUCUCUCUCCCCUCAAGCCAAUUGAAAAAGAGGCAAUUGCUUGACGAUUUGGAAUGGUGGUCACUUGAGGCUCUUGUUUUACUCUCAGGGCUGCUGCCAGAUCCUCAGCUCGAGACGUCCCUCAUUCUUUGCAGCUGGAGAAAAAGUUGUAAGAAAAAAAAAGAAGAAACAAUAGAAGAAAACUUACCGGCCUUCUUCGUCCCAAAUCUACUCACGAGCGUGUUCUUCCGAUCGAUCCUCAUUUAUCAAUCCACCCCCGUGUCAUUCUGGUUGCGGUAAUCCAUCAUGUACGAAACACCACGAACUCUAGCCUAGGUUCCAUUCCUAACACCUGUGAAGAAAAAGCAGCAUAAAAGGAAUGAAAUAUUACCAUUUGCAAGAUCCUGGACGAGAAUGCCGUACCUUGUUCAAUACUACUGGCAAGAUCUUCACCUCAUCAAAAACCCCGAGAGCAAACAUGGUCGGUCCAGGCACCGGCUUCACUGUUCGCAUUCGCUCCACAUCGAUGCGGCGAUCUUGGUCUUGCUCAAAGCGGUGGAAGCACAAGCUGCGAGUCUUCUUCCUGUAGAGGAGAAUACAUAACCUUCUUGAUCUGCGCGUUGGCGAUGUUCCAAUAGGAUGUUUUACUGGUAACGGUGGAUCAUAGCGCCUGCUGAGCAUACCGGCGAGCGAUCCAUCUCCUCAUCAAUUCUGUCCAAUCCUCCUGUACACAUGAAAACGCGAGACCUGGAAUAGCGAUCAGCAGAGUUCUUGUCGACACCCGAUGCCGCUACACCGUCGUCAUGCAUCGGCCGCGCGGAAGAAGCCAGGAAAUUUGGGGGGCGCCACGAACGGGAUCGAGACUAGGAGCUCCGAAAUAUCCACAAUACCCUUCGAUGUGAUGCCAGCGCCGGGAACAAGACGCGCGCAGCGCCUCGAUUCUCGGAAUACGAGAAUGCCGCCGAUCAAGAUUCCUACCGCCUGCCAGCUAGGACUAGGAGAACCUGCUACUAGAACGGUCGCGGGUUCGACUCCCAUUGACGCCAUGCUCCAGUGUAUUUAAGAAUACCCACAUAUCAUCCAGAAACUUAUGCGAUUCUGCUGGCUCGACGACCAAGCAAUCCCAUCCGGGGGAUGUGCUUCUACUUGAUUCGCAAUCCUACAUAUCAAAAGUGCAUGAUCCUCGCACUCCUACUUGUGACUAACUAUGCUGGCUAGUCAGCUGUUUCACACAUGGCUCAUUGUGAGAUUACAAGUACCUCAUUCAUCUUUUUCUCGAUUGUUUUUUGUUUGACCACCUGGUUUUUCCUUUCUCCAGUGAAAGGUCUAUAAGAACGAGGUUGCACGGCAGAUGG